rnacentral:misc_RNA from 1 species
ACACCAAACGUUACAAGCACGCCGGUUGGGAUUUUUGAUAAUAAAAGAAGAUUUAUACUUGUCAAAGUUUCCACCAAAACAAUGGCGUCUUUACCUAUGAACCCAAAGCCAUUUCUGAAUGGACUUACAGGUAAACCAGUGAUGGUGAAACUAAAAUGGGGCAUGGAAUACAAAGGGUACCUGGUGUCUGUGGAUGGCUACAUGAAUCUACAGGUAAACUGGGCUUGUACUAUCUAAGAAAAUCCACAUUGCUUCUUCUGAAAAGUACUGGUUUAUAGAUGUAAACUAUUAAACCUGAUCCAAAGAGGAGAAUUACAUAUGUCAAGUUGGCAUGAACAGAUCUGAGAUCAUGAUCUUAAACUGAAAAGUUGAGUAUGAUUUGUAGAUCUGUGAUUGUUGAUGAGACUAUAUUCAUCUGCUCUUUAGAUCAAUUUCAACAGGUUUAGAUAAUUGCCUAUAAUAAUUCUAAUGGUCAUCACACUCCACCAACUCUGUAAUGGUAGAUGGAAAAGUAUGGAUUCUAAAUACUUUGGUUUCUUACAAUAAAUUUAUGCAGUACUAUACCGGCUUGCUAAUACAGAAGAAUACAUUGAUGGAGCACAAACAGGCAAUCUUGGAGAAGUUCUCAUUCGGUGUAAUAAUGUCCUGUAUAUUCGAGGAGUGGAAGAAGAGGAUGAAGAAGGAGAGAUGAAGGACUGAUAACUUCCUCACUAAGUGCUGGAAGAGGCAGCAAUCUUCUUUAUGUUCAUUUCACCAUGUCAUAAUCCAUUAUGCCAUUUUACAGACACUUUUGUAUAUUUCAUUGUUUCAAUUCGGAUUCAUUGACUUUAGCACAGUAUGAAUGUAUGAGUGUUGUUUUAUGAGGUAGACUUUUGCCAUCAUGUUUUUAUUGAAACGUAAAAUGUUGUACAUGUUUAUACCAUAACAUAGUGUUAUGUAUAUACAUGAAUGUAUACAUGAUAUAAAACGAAGUCGAGUGCAAGAAGCUUACUUGAAGAAAAU